CCUACGGGAGGCAGCAGUGGGGAAUCUUGCGCAAUGGGCGAAAGCCUGACGCAGCAACGCCGCGUGCGGGAUGAAGGCCUUCGGGUUGUAAACCGCUUUCAGCAGGGAAGAAAUUGACGGUACCUGCAGAAGAAGCCCCGGCCAACUACGUGCCAGCAGCCGCGGUAACACGUAGGGGGCGAGCGUUGUCCGGAUUUAUUGGGCGUAAAGAGCUCGUAGGCGGUUCGGUAAGUCGGGUGUGAAACCUCCAGGCUCAACCUGGAGACGCCACCUGAAACUGCUGUGACUAGAGUCCGGUAGGGGAGUGUGGAACUCCUGGUGUAGCGGUGAAAUGCGCAGAUAUCAGGAAGAACACCAGCGGCGAAGGCGGCACUCUGGGCCGGUACUGACGCUGAGGAGCGAAAGCGUGGGUAGCAAACAGGAUUAGAUACCCUGGUAGUCCACGCCGUAAACGUUGGGCACUAGGUGUGGGUCUCAACCAACGAGAUCCGUGCCGCAGCUACGACAUAGUCGCCCGCCGUCGGGAGGUACGGCCGCGACGGACGUAAACCUACGAACGGAAGUUAGACGGCGUGAGACGUCGCCGACGGACGACGACGAGGGAGUAGG
rnacentral:rRNA from 1 species